rnacentral:rRNA from 1 species
CAGCAGCCGCGGUAAUACAGAGGGUGCGAGCGUUAAUCGGAUUUACUGGGCGUAAAGCGUGCGUAGGCGGCUUCUUAAGUCGGAUGUGAAAUCCCUGAGCUUAACUUAGGAAUUGCAUUCGAUACUGGGAAGCUAGAGUAUGGGAGAGGAUGGUAGAAUUCCAGGUGUAGCGGUGAAAUGCGUAGAGAUCUGGAGGAAUACCGAUGGCGAAGGCAGCCAUCUGGCCUAAUACUGACGCUGAGGUACGAAAGCAUGGGGAGCAAACAGGAUUAGAUACCCGAGAGUCCCUGUCUCUUAUACA